CUUAAAAGAAUAUUGUCUAAGUUGGCACCAGAGUUGGGGAGUUUUAAGAGGUUUAGAAGCCUGGCCAUCAAUACCCACAGCAGUUAUGGAGGCAAGGGAAACAGGCCCUUGAAAAGAAGGCUUCCAAGGCGAUCAGGCAGUGUCAGUCUUCAUCUGCUAAGCUGAGAAGAUCUGAGAAGGAGUCAGUCAGAGAGCCUUGGGCCAGAGUUCCAGGGGCUCUGGGAGUGGCUGCCAGGUGAGUUGAACAGUCCGAUUUCCAG
rnacentral:lncRNA from 1 species